UACGAUCAUAUCAUUUUGAAACACCAGUUCCCGUACGAUCACCGAAGUUAAGCACCGUCGAGUCUGGUCAGUAUCUAGAUUGGUGGCUAAUUGUGAAUACCAGGUUCUGUAA